rnacentral:rRNA from 1 species
AUUGAACGCUGGCGGUAGGCCUAACACAUGCAAGUCGAACGCGAAAGUCCUUCGGGAUGAGUAGAGUGGCGGACGGGUGAGUAACGCGUAGGAAUCUAUCCUGUAGUGGGGGAUAACGUUUCGAAAGGAACGCUAAUACCGCAUACGCCCCAAGGGGGAAAGCGGGGGAUCUUCGGACCUCGUGCUAUAGGAGGAGCCUGCGUCGGAUUAGCUAGUUGGUGAGGUAAAGGCUCACCAAGGCGACGACCCGUAGCUGGUCUGAGAGGAUGAUCAGCCACGCGGGAACUGGGACACGGUCCGGAGUCCUACGGGAGGCAGCAGUGGGGAAGAUUGCGCAAUGGGCGAAAGCCUGACGCAGCCAUACCGCGUGUGUGGAGAAGGCCUUCGGGUUGUAAAGCACUUUCAGUGGGGAAGAAAAGCUGGUGGCUAAUAUCCAUUGGCCGUGACGCUACCCACAGAAGAAGCACCGGCUAAUUCCGUGCCAGCCGCCGCCGUAACAC